rnacentral:rRNA from 1 species
AUUGAACGCUGGCGGCAUGCCUUACACAUGCAAGUCGAACGGUAACGGGCCUUCGGGUGCCGCCGAGUGGCGAACGGGUGAGUAAUACAUCGGAACGUGCCCGAUCGUGGGGGAUAACGAGGCGAAAGCUUUGCUAAUACCGCAUACGAUCUACGGAUGAAAGCAGGGGACCGCACGGCCUUGCGCGGACGGAGCGGCCGAUGGCAGAUUAGGUAGUUGGUGGGAUAAAAGCUUACCAAGCCGACGAUCUGUAGCUGGUCUGAGAGGAUGAUCAGCCACACUGGGACUGAGACACGGCCCAGACUCCUACGGGAGGCAGCAGUGGGGAAUUUUGGACAAUGGGCGCAAGCCUGAUCCAGCCAUGCCGCGUGCAGGAUGAAGGCCUUCGGGUUGUAAACUGCUUUUGUACGGAACGAAAAGCCUUCUUUUAAUACAGGAGGGUCAUGACGGUACCGUAAGAAUAAGCACCGGCUAACUACGUG